GGUAAAACGCUGGCGGCGUGCCUAAAAACAUGCAAGUCGAGCGGUAACAGGUGUAGCAAUACAUGCUGACGAGCGGCGGACGGGUGAGUAACGCUUGGGAAUCUGCCUGUUAGUGGGGGGACAACCCGGGGAAACUCGGGCUAAUACCGCAUACGCACUACGGUGGAAAGCCGGGGACCGCAAGGCCUGGCGCUAACAGAUGAGCCCAAGUCGGAUUAGCUAGUUGGUAGGGUAACGGCCUACCAAGGCGACGAUCCGUAACUGGUCUGAGAGGACGACCAGUCACACCGGAACUGAGACACGGUCCGGACUCCUACGGGAGGCAGCAGUGGGG
rnacentral:rRNA from 1 species